CAGCUUUCAUAUAGCAUUUCAUUUUUAAAGUUUAUUUGCCGAAAUUAGUUUGCUAAUUUUUUUUCUAGGUCUUAUCUACAAAGGAAGAAUCGAGACUAAUUGAGGGCAGUCUUGAGAUUCCUGUCACCAGGGGGCAAGUGGAGAGGAACUGUGCUGGAAGACAGAUCUGGAGUUGGAGGUCCACGUGCCAUAGGAGAUCUCUUUAUGAGGCCUUGGUUCUUGAGAGGGAUGAAUGA
rnacentral:lncRNA from 1 species